GGGGAGAGGCAGAGGGAGAGGGAGAAGCAGAUCCUCACUGAGCAGGGAGCACAACAUGGGGCUAGAUACCAGGACACUGGGAUCAGGACCUGAGCCAAAGGCAGACCCUCAAAUGACUGAGCCACUCAGGUGCCCCUCAGAAGGCUUUUGAUCAGCAUCCUGGGAGCAGAUCCUUAUCUCAGGGCUGGACUUAUGUUAUCCAAGCUGUUAUAAGUUAAAUUUUGCCCUCCACAAAGAUACAUGAAGUCCUGACACCUUAUACCUCAGAGUGUGACCUUAUUUGAAAACAGGGCCAUUGCUCAUGUAAUUAAUUAAGAUGGGGUCAUUCAAGGAACCCCUGGGUGGCUCAGCGGUUGAGCAUCUGCCUUCCACCCAGGGUGUGAUCCCAGAGUUCUGGAAUCGAGUCCCACAUCGGGCUCCCUACAAGGAGCCUGCUUCUCCCUCUGCCUAUGUCUCUGCCUCUCUCUGUGUGUCUCUCAUGAAUAAAUAAAAUCUUUACAAAAAAAAAAAAAAAAAAAAAAAAAGAUGGGGUCAUUUGAGUAGGCCCAAAUCCAGUAUGACUCUGCUCUCUUUAUUGAAAGGGCAAAUUGGACACAGAGAUAGAUGUGCACAGAGGAAAGACUGAAGACACAGAGGGAGCAGACAGCCAUGUGGUGGUGUAGGCCAAGAUUGAAGCGAUGCAUCUACAAGCCAAGGGAUGUCAGAGAUUGCUGGCAACUACCAGAAGCUAGAGGAAGCAAGGAAGGAUUCUCCUGUCAAGCUCUCAGAGGGAGCAACAGCCCUGUCAAUACUUUGAUUUCAAACUUCUAGUCUCUAGAAUUGUACAACAGUAAUUUUAUGUUGUUUUAAGGCAUCUACUCAUGUGCCAAAUACUUAAUGAGCAACUACUAUGUGUAGAUACUGUGCUAGGUCCUGGGGACACAUGUGGAGGCCUGGAGGCCCAGAGGUGGUGGUAGUAAGGCAGGGUGGUGAAGAGUCUGGGUCAGAGGUGACAGGACAAGGGCACUACCAUCAUGAAGAGGCAUUUGUGGGUGAGACUGGAACCAGAGGCAAGGGAGGUGAGGACCCACUCCUCCAAGAUGGACAGAGCUGGCGGGUAGUGUGAGGCCUCGGGGGCAGCUCUUUACUAUCCUCAUGGCUGAAACAAUCACAUUCUUGUUUCUCUAGAUGGGCACAACACAAUAGAGGAGGCUUAUGCACCACAAACUAUAGUCCUAUCCAAUAGUUGGGCCUCUGAGAUCACCCCAAAUAGUUGGUUUGGGGUGUGCCUCAAUUCUCUGUUCACAUUUACCAAGGUGUUACUGGUUUAAUCCAGAUGUCACAAAGGCCUCACCCCAGGGCCAUCAGGUGGGUGUUCCUUGCCAGGUACAGUGUUUUUGCUGGCCCCACCACUCACUCACUAGGUCCCAUUCCCACAAUCUUACUUCAUGCCUUGACCAAGUGAAAGCAUCUAAGGUUAAGAUCUGGGGCUUACUCAGAUUAUUGGUAAUGUUCCAGUUAUCUAUUGCUGUGUGACAAACCAAACUUAGUGUCAUAAAAUAACAACAAUCAUUUAACUCUUCUGUGGGCCAACAAUCCAGAUGACGCAUGGUGUGAAUGACUUGUCUCUAUUAUAUCUAGAGCCCUAAGGGGAGACUGCAAUAUCCAGGGGGUGGAAUCACCUGGAGCCUUCUUCAUUCACUUGUCUGCUGCCUGGACUGGGAUGACCCAAAGACUGGCCCCAAAGUAAACUGAGAGCCAGCAUCUACACUGGCUUCUCCAUGUGGAUUGGGAUCCUCAUAGCAUGGUGGCCUCAGGAUAGUUGAACUUACAUGGCAGCUCAGCUUUCCAAGGGCAAGGGUUCAGGAGAACCAGGUGGAAGCUGUACGGCCUUUCAUCACCUAACCUUAGAAGUCAUAUAGAAUCACCUCCACCAUACUCCAUUCAUCAAAACAGUCCCAAGCCUUCAGAGUUUCAAGAGGAAGGACAUGGAGCCUAUGGACAUAGAUGGAGACAAUGCCUCCAAAAGAGAAGUGUCAAUGGACCCAUGGCUGUGUUUCAAAACCACCACCGUCAAUUACAUCCACUGGGUAGAAAACAAGAUUUCCUUCAGGUCUAGAUUUUGGGGUAUACCUCACUUGACUUACAAAACCUGGCUCUCUGCUCAAGCAUGGAAUGAGGUUCAGACCCCUUGGCAUGAAAGUUAAAGUUCUUCACAGCCUGUCCCAGGCUGCCUUCCAGCCUUCUCCUCUGGCCAUCUGUGCUUUCCCUAAACUGGCCGAGGACCUGUGACCCCCUCAGAGGGGCACACUUUUCAAACUCCCCAAAGGUGCCGUUGAGGCUGGCGACAUCACUGGAUUAUUUCUCCAGAGGCUCAGAGCUUCCCAGAGGAUGCUGAAACCCAUCCGGAGCUCUGGAUUCCUGGCCUGAGGAUAUUGUCCCCUGUCCUCCACUAAUGACUCAGCCAUCUGUUUUCCUUCCCUGAACUCUGCUCUGCUGGAAGCUGCACAGACACCCCAGCUGGGGCUUCAAAGCCAGGUGGUUUGAGUGGCCCUACGCAUGGGAACCAGAACUGCUUGUGAUUCUCUAGAAUUCUCGCCCCAAUUCAUAACCAUUCACAGGGCACGGACAGCUGAGCUGUCUGCUUCCUUGAAAGGGCCGCCUUUGAAGCCAGUGAUGGGGGCACUGGAUGGCCUCCUGAGUGAGCACCACACCCAGUGAGGAGGGGAAGACAGGGGCCACAGGAGGCCACACCCUGGAAGGGCCACUCUGUUAAAAAGAGCCAUGGCCACUGCCAGGGGGGUGAAAAGUGAGACAAGAGGGAAGCACUUCCCCCAUCAGUGACCUUUGGUCCCCAACCAAAUGGAUGACUGUGGGGCUGGAGAGGACCGAGAGUCUAGGAAUUAAAGCCACAUCUCAUUUCACUUGAUGAGCUGCAGCCUCAUCUUUUCUAGAGGGGAAGAGACAAGUCAAAUUCACAAGCACAUAGGACACAUGACACUCUGCACUUGGACUUGAGCUCCUGAACAGUACUUAGUGAGUCAAGCUCAAGUAAAAUGAACCCCCGAGUCUAGCAAGAAGCCUUCUUUUCUGAUUUAUAUUCAUCUGCAGUAUCCCUAAUGUUUAGGGUUUUUAAAAACUUUGUAUUUGGAAAUCAUUAGACUCCCAGAAAGUUGCAAAAAUAGUACACAGGAUCCCAUCGACUCUUCACCCAGCCUCCCCCAAUGGUAAGCAACAUCUUUUGGAGCAGUAGUCUAAAAUCAAAGGAGACUGCUGUGGAUAUACUAUGGUUAACUAGACCACCGGCCUUAACUCUGCACCAGUUUUCACAUGUUCAUUUGUGUGUGUGUGUUUCUGUGUUAUUUUAUCCCAUGAAUAGACUGGUAUAACCACCACUGCAAUCAAGACAGACCCAUUCCAUGCCCACAUAGGAAGUCCCUUAUACUA
rnacentral:lncRNA from 1 species